UGUUAUGUGCUGUGAUCCUCCUGACCUACAAUCUACUCGAGAUAGCCUCUUAUGGUAAUAGAAACUUCACCUUGCGAUAUUGCAUGCCAUCCUUCUGAGUCUCCCGUCUCGUGUUCGAUCCACCUACUCCUAGAACUCUACCUCGCACAAGGCUCCCACUGACUCCUAAAGCUCUAUCUCAUGCUAAGCUUUUUACCAAGAGGUAGUAUCCUCC
rnacentral:lncRNA from 1 species